CAGCCAGUAGGGCACUUGUAUUACUGUCUCUCUGGGCCAUGACUCACCAGCCCCAAUGAUAACAAUCCUUAGACCUUUGACAUGUUUUCAGGAUGCUUUUCUCUAUUGGUUCCACAAAGGAAGCCCUAAGACGUUGUCCAGCUUCUAAUUCUGCAAAGAACAGCUGGAAAACAUGAGGGCCGACUCAACAGCUGUGUGUUGGGAAUCAGGAGGCAUCCAGGACGAAGAUACCAUCUGGCUACAGCUGCUACCAAAAUGAGAAGCCAAUCCUCAGGCAAAGAGAAGCUUGAAGGAACUGGGAAAGUUGUUCCCGCACCUCCCCAACCCCACCGCCCAGUAGGAUCAUUCCAAGGUCAGUAGGGCUAUAACUGCUGCCUCCUUAUGCUAGAAAGUGCAGGAAGUAACUGCUUUGCACAGCAUUCUGGCUUCUUCAGUUUGGGGCUGUCCUGAUCACUGUUGG
rnacentral:lncRNA from 1 species